UUUCCUUUUCCUCCGGCUGUUUUGUGGAUGCCAAAGGUAGGCUUGGCUGAGUGGAGAAAAAAAGUAAUCUGUAAGCAUCGAAAGCCAGGAGGAAUAGUGAUGGCGUGUUACGAGUCUUAUUUAGGAAGACACGUUAUUCAUAGUGAAUAUCUGCAAAGGCGCCGGUGGAGCGGUGGUGUGUAUUUUGCAGGAUGAAAAAAAAGAAGACAAUGGAAUGUGGCACGUGGGCCCGUUCGACGCAGCGCUUUUUAACGGUCUGACACUUGUUUUUCACGAGACCAGUGUAAAUGUCAAGAAAUGAAGUGGCAUUGUGACCCACGAUGAAAGAAAUGAAAACUGAUGGAUGAUAGAUACUAUAGCGAGAGAAGACUGAUGGUUGUCAUCUGUAAGUCAUUUGAAGUAGAAGAGGGAAGCAGUGGAUGCUGAGGUUCAGCGAUAGCUGUGGACCCGGUGACUAUGUACCACGGGUCAGUGCUUGCUGCCAGGAGCCACCCGAGGAACACUACACUGUCCAGCCACUGCUUGCAGCGUCCCCAGGCCGAAAAUGAUGGAGCCGCUGUUACUGAGGCGCAUGCGUCGCAGCUGCUGCCUCGUUCGUAAGUUGUAGGUCGGAUGUCCGUAACUUGGGGACUACCUGUAUUAUAUUUUUGGAAAUGGAUGCCAUUCACCAUUGAUCUGUAUGUUUGCCAUUCUGUACAUAUGUCCUGUGAAAGCAGUUUGCUUACUUUUGACUUUGGUUGUUUAAUUUUCAUUCUUUGGGCAGUUGACUAUUGUGUAUGUAUAGCCAUAUUUUUUGUGAGCAGUGUGUCAUCUUAUUUUGUACAAAGCUGUUCAACCACAAACCACUUGCCAUUUUACCAUUUGCUUUUUUACUAAUUGCAAUUUACAAUUUUUGAGGUUUUUGAUAUGUUUUGUAUAUAUGUGUGAAUUAAAUAAAAUUUUAUAACUGACUUUCUAAA